GCUUCGUUAUCAUUAUUUGUCAUGAAGCCGAACGUUAGCAUAGAGCUAACAGAUUGUUAAAAGCUUCAUUUGGAGUUGACUGAGCUACAGUGGGUCAUGAUGACUGUCUCCCGGAUGGAGAGUCUCUGCCUGGCAGCUGUACUGGAGGACUGUGCAACCCGUUUGGAUAUACUGGGACAUAUGGCAACAGCCCCAGCCAAAAGGGGGCACACUGCUGACACAGAGCAGUCUGCAGAGCAGAAGACAGUGCUAGCUAAACA